AUUAUAAAUGCUUGAGGCAAAGCGGGGUUUGGGGUGGAGGCUGGCUGCUCGCGACCCCCCCCCCCAUGUAAUAACCUUGCAACUCCCUGAGGGGUCCCAACCCCCCAGUUUGAGAACUCCUGCCCUAGAAUAUCUGGGGACAAUGACCCAUUUCUUUGAGUCUCCUGACCUCCAUUUUGUGCUCUUCGUUUCAGCUCUUGCCUAUUUGCUAUUUGACGAAGAACUCUCAAUUGGUAGAGAUAUCUUUGCCAUCUUUGAGGAGAUGAACUGGCCUGCACCACACAGACAGUCCUCCACACUGAGAAGUCACUUCUACUACUGCUUCUCAUGAUUGGCACAGGAAGCCAGAAGGAAUUGGACAGUCUGUCUCCUGAAAAGGCUCUCCUCCUGCUUCUGUUGACCAGGGAACAACCACCAUGGAAUACCCGCACAUGGGGGAGUCAGCCCUGCCCCCUAUUAUAAUGCUGCCUCAUCACAGAAUGUAAAGCAAGAACAUCAGUGUACAACAGAAGGGGAUGGACUGUCAACUUGCCAGAAGGCUGGUAGCUGAAAUUUAAUUUAUAGAUAGCUAUUGUAUAACCUGUUUACCACAAGAUAAAAAUAAUCACAACAGAACAUGAAUAUAAUAGAAGAGAGACAGCAGACGUGGGUAUUCAAGAAAGACAGAGACGCAUUGACUGGAUGCUUCAAAUUCUAAAACCAAGAUACGUGACUUUCAAGGGAAAUGUGGAAGUGAGGAAAAAAUGGCUUAGGUAUGGAAAUUUAAAUUAAAUGUAAUGGAAAUACUAUAUUUCCAAGAUCAUUUAUACAAAUAUUUAAUUGGUAUUGCAGAAAAAUAGAGUGAAAUAACUGUCAUAGGUUUCAGAGUAGCAGCCGUGUUAGUCUGUAUUCGCAAAAAGAAAAGGAGUACUUGUGGCACCUUAGAGACUAACAAAUUUAUUUUAGUAACCUAUAUGAAGUCAAAUAGAAAUCAAUUAAAGUCCUUUCAGCAAGUUUCGAAGCCCGUUCUUGUUACACAGAAAUUAUAAGCCAUCUACACAGAUGUUACUCAUGAACUGUAACUGGUAAACCAUUAAAUACCAAGCCAGAACAGAACAUAUUACAUCCUCUCGUAAACAA